CUAGAGCAGGGAGGGCUGGUUUUUUUUUUUGUUUUUGUUUUAUCCGGAGAAGCAGAGGUGAAAAGAACAGUUUCCAGCUUGACUUCUCCAAGUGGGAGCCACUGGAGGGUGUAAACCGAAGGGCCAGCUGAUGUGAUUUGCUUUUUUAUAGUCAGAUCACCCUGGCUGCCAAGUUUAGGGUAGACGGAAAGGAGAAAGGAUUAGAAGCUGGUUGGAACUACGAAAACGAGGUGCAACCCAUCUCUGAGGCAACAAUUACUCUCACACGGAUGAGGAAACCAAACUCAUGGAGACUUUGAGUGUCCCAUGGAUGACUCUGCUUGCUUUGUAUGGACUGAUGACCACCUGUUGAGAGACAGACGACUUACAGACAGCAUGUAAACUAUCUUUUUUCUGAUUAUGCUAACACGGGCAGCUGGAGAAACCUUAGACCCCUCUGAUGUCUGAUUUUUUGUGGUCACAUAGAAAGCUCUCUUGACAGAGCCUCGAAGGUCACCUCCAUCCCCAGGUGAACAGAGCACCCCGUAAGUCCAAAUAAAAUCAGUUCCUAGCAACCGAA